GAUGAACGCUAGCGGCAGGCUUAAUACAUGCAAGUCGUGGGGCAGCAGGAGUAGCAAUACUUGCUGGCGACCGGCAAACGGGUGCGUAACACGUACGCAACUUUCUUUCAAGCGGGGAAUAGCCCGGGGAAACCCGGAUUAAUACCCUAUAUUAUAUUUGAAUGGCAUCAUUUAAAUAUUAAAGCUUCGGCACUUGAUGAUGGGCGUGCGGCUGAUUAGGUAGUUGGCGGAGUAAAGCCCACCAAGCCUACGAUCAGUAGCUGAUGUGAGAGCAUGAUCAGCCACACGGGCACUGAGACACGGGCCCGACUCCUACGGGAGGCAGCAGUAAGGAAUAUUGGUCAAUGGGCGAAAGCCUGAACCAGCCAUGCCGCGUGGAGGAUGAAGGUCCUCUGGAUUGUAAACUUUCUUUUAUUUGGGACGAAAAAGGAAUUCUUUCUCACUUGACGGUACCAGAUGAAUAAGCACCGGCUAACUCUGUGCCAG
rnacentral:rRNA from 1 species